UACGUAGGUGGCAAGCGUUGUCCGGAAUUACUGGGUGUAAAGGGAGCGUAGGCGGGAUGUCAAGUCAGAAGUGAAAAUUAUGGGCUCAACUCAUAACCUGCUUUUGAAACUGAUAUUCUUGAGUGAAGUAGAGGCAAGCGGAAUUCCUAGUGUAGCGGUGAAAUGCAUAGAUAUCACGCAGAACUCCGAUUGCGAAGGCAGCAUACCGGCGCCCAACUGACGCUGAAGCACGAAAGCGUGGGUAUCGAACAGG
rnacentral:rRNA from 1 species